UAGACGAAGUCUGAUUAUCCUUACUUUAUAAAUGAGGAAGUUGAGGCUUAGAGUGAUUAAAGGAUCUGCCCAUAGUCACACAUCUUGUUAAGUGUUCCAGCUAGGAUUCAGAUUCUGAAUCCCUGACACUAGGUCCAGCAUCCUUUUCUGGAUUUACUACAUGAUGCAUUGACUUCCUUGGAUGGAACUGAAUCCACUACUGGAUCCGAUUCAUUUCAACAAAAAUCAUUAAACACCUAAAAUAUGUAAGGAACUAUUCUAGAUAAUAAUAAUGGCUCCUAUUUAUAUGACACUUUGUGAUUUGCCAAGAGUGUUCCCCUCCAAAUAGUCUAGAAGAAAAUAGGUAGCAAUAAUAAUAGUAAUUACUAAUAUUUAUCUACCAUAAGAUUUCUAAAAGGAUUUUUCCUCAUAAAAGCUCUGUGAGUUAAGCUAUGCAAGUAUUAAUAUUUUCAUUUUUCAGAUGGUUAAAUUGAGACUUGUGGAGACAAUGGAGUAUAGUUUGGAGACCAAGGACCCAGAUUUAAAUGCUACUUUUGCUGCAUGCCACAGCCGCAGCUGUGUUCUUGGGCUAUCUAUAUUCACAGUGUCUUUUUGGAAUAGUGGACCACUUGCCCUGCUGGCUUUGCAACCAACAUUUAAGGAACAAGCAUCAAUUACAGACAAAACCCCGGAGCAAACUUCAGGAGUAAAAAGCAGGGAAUUUUUUGAAAUAGAAAACCAAUGA
rnacentral:lncRNA from 1 species